rnacentral:rRNA from 1 species
GAACGCUGGCGGCGCGCCUAACACAUGCAAGCCGAACGAGAGAUGAGGAGCUUGCUCUUCAAAUCGAGUGGCGAACGGGUGAGUAACGCGUGAGGAACCUGCCUCAAAGAGGGGGACAACAGUUGGAAACGACUGCUAAUACCGCAUAAGCCCACGGCUCGGCAUCGAGCAGAGGGAAAAGGAGCAAUCCGCUUUGAGAUGGCCUCGCGUCCGAUUAGCUAGUUGGUGAGGUAAUGGCCCACCAAGGCGACGAUCGGUAGCCGGACUGAGAGGUUGAACGGCCACAUUGGGACUGAGACACGGCCCAGACUCCUACGGGAGGCAGCAGUGGGGAAUAUUGCACAAUGGGGGAAACCCUGAUGCAGCGACGCCGCGUGGAGGAAGAAGGUCUUCGGAUUGUAAACUCCUGUUGUUGAGGAAGAUAAUGACGGUACUCAACAAGGAAGUGACGGCUAACUACGUGCCAGCAGCCGCGGUAAAACGUAGGUCACAAGCGUUGUCCGGAAUUACUGGGUGUAAAGGGAGCGCAGGCGGGAGAACAAGUUGGAAGUGAAAUCCAUGGGCUCAACCCAUGAACUGCUUUCAAAACUGUUUUUCUUGAGUAGUGCAGAGGUAGGCGGAAUUCCCGGUGUAGCGGUGGAAUGCGUAGAUAUCGGGAGGAACACCAGUGGCGAAGGCGGCCUACUGGGCACCAACUGACGCUGAGGCUCGAAAGUGUGGGUAGCAAACAGGAUUAGAUACCCUGGUAGUCCACACCGUAAACGAUGAUUACUAGGUGUUGGAGGAUUGACCCCUUCAGUGCCGCAGUUAACACAAUAAGUAAUCCACCUGGGGAGUACGACCGCAAGGUUGAAACUCAAAGGAAUUG